rnacentral:tRNA from 1 species
GGCCUUGUGGCCUAAUGGAUAAGGCGUCGGACUUCGGAUCCGAAGAUUUCAAGUUCGAGUCCUGCCAGGGUCG